UCACACUGUUAGAAAUUGCUGUAAAUUUACGGCUAAAUUUCAACAGUAUAUUCCUGUUUUGUUCAAAAGCAGUACAUUGCUGUUUUUUUGCGUUUGUAAUAUGACGUAGAAAAAUUAUAACGGCAUUUUAACGUAAUUAUUGCUCGAGGGAAACAAAACGGUACUUAACAGUAUUUUUGACUUGACAUCGGAAGAGCUGCAGUGAGCACGCAUGGAUUUUUCAUCCAUCUUCAUACUUAUAAUAGUGAUAAAAGCACCAACUGCGACAUCGUGAGGGAAGUUGGAUUCCUCACACGGAUAAUUCCCGAUUACAGGUUUCAGGUGAAACACCAGGAAACUGUAUUCAGCACUGGAUGAUCAGCCUUGAGGGUCAUAUUAUUUGUGAGGGCAUCCAGACGGUUUUCUGUCUGGGCUUGCUGCUGUUUUUUCUACUUUUUACAACUUCAAUCUUCAAUACCAAGCUGAGGCAGCAUGCACACUGGAAUUUAUUCAAAGGCGGUUCAUCGGGAUAAACCCAGAAAAAGGCACCAAGGUUGGAGGAGUCAUUUCAAAACGGACGGGGAAGGUCGCCCAGAAAAACAAAACAGUGAACCCUCGUGUCUCCAGUCUGCUUGAAAAAUUAAUGGAUUUUGAGUGGGACUUUAUACAAGUAUUACACACACACCCACACACAAACACUCACACCCCACACACACACACACACACACA